rnacentral:rRNA from 1 species
AGCGAACGCUGGCGGCAGGCUUAACACAUGCAAGUCGAGCGCCCCGCAAGGGGAGCGGCAGACGGGUGAGUAACACGUGGGAACGUGCCUUUUGGUUCGGAACAACCCAGGGAAACUUGGGCUAAUACCGGAUAAGCCCUUACGGGGAAAGAUUUAUCGCCAAAAGAUCGGCCCGCGUCUGAUUAGCUAGUUGGUGGGGUAAUGGCCCACCAAGGCUACGAUCAGUAGCUGGUCUGAGAGGAUGAUCAGCCACAUUGGGACUGAGACACGGCCCAAACUCCUACGGGAGGCAGCAGUGGGGAAUAUUGGACAAUGGGGGCAACCCUGAUCCAGCCAUGCCGCGUGAGUGAUGAAGGCCUUAGGGUUGUAAAGCACUUUUGGCGGGGACGACGAUGGCGGUACCCGCAGAAUAAGUCACGGCUAACUUCGUGCCAGCCGCCGCAGUAA